rnacentral:lncRNA from 1 species
UGUAAACGCCGCUCGGCAGUGCUUUCCCUGUUACGCUGGGGCAUGGGCUCAGCCCUGCCAGAGGCGGGAGGGCACUCCAGGUUGAGUCUCCAGCAUGGCUGCUGGGAGUGUUUAGCUUUGUCCUGCUCCCCUUGACUUACUCUGCAUUACAUUACUGAGGGAAUUCAGGAAAUCACCGGUACCACUGGCGAGCCUCUGUUUUCCUGUCAGAGAGAUGACUCAUCAGAGUUGCUCUAUGUGUCUUGUGUCUUGGAGCCCACAGAGGCUGGGAAUGAUCAUGUUGUUGUCCACUUGUGGUGGUUGAGGACUCCUCAAAGAAGGUACCAGGCACAGAGUCGAACUGGCGAAACCGACUCCAGUGACUGGUGCAGGGAAGUGCUCGCUGGUUGAACCUUGCUUCUGGCUCUGCUGAGGUAGAUGGGUUUACGUUUCACGUAGCUGGCUCGCACCGUGAUACCCUGCCCAGCCCUCCUGCCCUCUGAGUAUUGUUUAUGGGUUUGUAGUUUUAUUAAUAAAUAACAUUGGUA